AGUGAACGCUGGCGGCAGGCCUAACACAUGCAAGUCGAGCGGCAGCGGGUUCCCGCGAGGGGAUGCCGGCGAGCGGCGGACGGGUGAGGAACACAUCGGAAUCUGCCUGGUUGUGGGGGGAUAACGUAGGGAAACUUACGCUAAUACCGCAUGAGACCCUGAGUCGACGGACUGGGGGUGAAAGUGAGGGACCUUCGGGCCUCACGCGACCAGAUGAGCCGAUGUCGGAUUAGCUAGUUGGCGGGGUAACGGCCCGCCAAGGCGACGAUCCGUAGCUGGUCUGAGAGGAUGAUCAGCCACACUGGGACUGAGACACGGCCCAGA
rnacentral:rRNA from 1 species